rnacentral:rRNA from 1 species
GUCUGCGGCCUAUCAGGUAGUAGUGGGUGUAGCGUACCUACUAGCCUACGACGGGUACGGGUUGUGAGAGCAAGAGCCCGGAGAUGGAUUCUGAGACACGAAUCCAGGCCCUACGGGGUGCAGCAGGCGCGAAAACUUUACAAUGCUGGCAACAGCGAUAAGGGAACCUCGAGUGCCAGGUUACAAAUCUGGCUGUCGAGAUGCCUAAAAAGCAUUUCAUAGCAAGGGCCGGGCAAGACCGGUGCCAGCCGCCGCGGUAACACCGGCGGCUCGAGUGGUAACCGUUAUUAUUGGGUCUAAAGGGUCUGUAGCCGGCCGGAUAAGUCUCUUGAGAAAUCUGGCAGCUUAACUGUCAGGCUUUCAGGAGAUACUGUCUGGCUCGAGGCCGGGAGAGGUGAGAGGUACUUCAGGGGUAGGGGUGAAAUCUUGUAAUCCUUGAAGGACCACCAGUGGCGAAGGCGUCUCACCAGAACGGACCUGACGGCAAGGGACGAAAGCUAGGGGCACGAACCGGAUUAGAUACCCGGGUAGUCCUAGCCGUAAACGAUACUCGCUAGGUGUCGGCCACGGUGCGACCGUUGUCGGUGCCGUAGGGAAGCCGUGAAGCGAGC